rnacentral:lncRNA from 1 species
ACAGUUACACCUUCUACUUGUGCAACCUUACAAGGAGAAGCUUGUAUAUUUCCCUUCGGCUAUAAUGACGUAAGUUACUCAUCGUGUACUACUGUAGGUGACACUCAAUUUUGGUGUGCAACGAGUCUUUACUCAGGAACAAAUGAAGCCCUCAAUUAUGGAUAUUGUAACUCUGUUUGCCAACAAGGCACCACUGCUCCCUCUAGCAGUUGUAGAACUUUAGGUGGUCAGACAUGCCUAAUUCCAUUUGAGUAUCGUGGUACAACAUAUAAUUCAUGUACAAAUGUUGAUAAUGGAGGUGUUGAUUGGUGUGCUACAUCAAAAGAUUCCACUGGCCAUGCAGUAGGAUGGGGUAAUUGUGAUUCAAGUUCUGCUUGCUAAUUGAUUGUGAAUAAUACAAUAGUAUGAUAGUUGAUUUUAGAAAUAUAUUUAUACAUAUACUUACAAAA